UGGGGAAUAUUGGACAAUGGGCGCAAGCCUGAUCCAGCCAUGCCGCGUGAGUGAUGAAGGCCUUAGGGUUGUAAAGCUCUUUCGCCGGUGAAGAUAAUGACGGUAACCGGAGAAGAAGCCCCGGCUAACUUCGUGCCAGCAGCCGCGGUAAUACGAAGGGGGCUAGCGUUGCUCGGAAUCACUGGGCGUAAAGCGCACGUAGGCGGAUCGUUAAGUCAGGGGUGAAAUCCUGGAGCUCAACUCCAGAACUGCCCUUGAUACUGGCGAUCUCGAGUUCGAGAGAGGUUGGUGGAACUCCGAGUGUAGAGGUGAAAUUCGUAGAUAUUCGGAAGAACACCAGUGGCGAAGGCGGCCAACUGGCUCGAUACUGACGCUGAGGUGCGAAAGCGUGGGGAGCAAAACAGGAUUAGAUACCCUGGUAGUCCACGCCGUAAAACGAUGGAUGCUAGCCGUUGGGGGGUUUACCUCUCAGUGGCGCAGCUAACGCCUUAAGCAUCCCGCCUGGGGAGUACGGUCGCAAGAUUAAAAACUCAAAUGAAUUGACGGGGUCAUAGCUG
rnacentral:rRNA from 1 species